UCUAUAGUGUCAUGAAAAUAAAUCAUAUUUCACAUUGUCAACAUUCAAAACGAUGUUUUUCUUAAUUAUUAGUCAUUUUUAUUCAAUUACUUCUCAACUUAAAGGCUCAAGAACUGUUGAAAAUAACCAGCCGUAGAUUUUAAUGAAGUCUGUCCCAGCCUCCAGCCAAAUACAAUUACAAAAAUAAUGCAAUUUAGUAAUGAGACUGAUGCGCCUAUUCAAGGGAACACAACCCACGGACUGGGGAGCACAGCGCCUCACAGGCAGUGGAGCCCUCUGCCCAGGGAUUGUGGGCCAAUGGAGCUCUAUGGAGCCUGAGAAGCAGCGAUGCAGAAACAGGCAGGAUUAGCCAGGAGGUCAGGGACUGCCUUAUAAGGCGAGCAGGUCAAUCAGCAAACAAGGAGAGAGUAUUCAUCUUAAGGUGAUUGGCUUGGGUUGCGGAUCUGCCCUUAUUUAGAACAGGGAAAUCAUCACAGGUUCUUGGCAGGUGGGGCCUGGCUGGCUGGAUAGACUGCUUUUCUGGUCCAGCGCAGCAUUUACAGGGACAGGAAAGUUAUCGAAGUUCCGAUUUGCUGACCUGGUACCUGGGGCAAGAGCGGAUCCAUCUUGGGCCUAGAAGUUCAGAUUUCCUUGGGCAUCCUGUGUUUGAUUAGGCAGCCCUGCCCUCAGGAAGUGUGCCCAUAUCUGCGAUUUACUUGGAUUCGUAGAUGGGGAGAUAGGUGAUAAAACAAGAAUAGUGAAUUCAUGGGAGAACUGAAGUGAAUCUACAUCCUCCAAUACAAUGUUGAAUAGAAAUGGCAAGAGCAGACGUCCUUGUCUUGUUCCUGGUCUUUGGGGAAAAGCAUUCAGUCUUUCAACCUGAAGUGUGAUGGUAGCUGUGGGUUUUCACAGAUGCCCUCUAUCAGGUGGAGGAAGUUCCAUUAUAUUCCUAGUGUGUGGACAGUUUUUAUCAUGAAUGGGAAUUGGAUUUUUCAAAUGAUUCAUUUAUAUCCAUUGAGAGGAUCAUGUGGUUUUUGUUAUAUAUUCAGUUAAUAUGGUUAUGAGAUUAAUUGAUUUUUGAUUGUUAAAUCAACUGUUUACAUCUGGGAUGAAUCUCACUUGACCAUGUUUAUAAUCCAUUAUGUAUGUUUCUGGAUUCAAUUUGCUAAUAUUUUCUUCAGGAUUUUUCUACCUAAACUCAUGAUUUUGUACCUACUGGUCCAUAUAUUUCUUAUUAUGACUUUGGCUUUGAUGUCAGUGUAAUGCUGGUCUCAGAGAACACAUUGGGAAGAGUUCCCAACCCCUGUAUUUUCUGAAUGAAUCAUUGUGAAGGAUAAAUAUUAUUCCUUCUUUAAAUGUUUGGUAGAUUUUCCAAUGAAACCGUCGGGGCCAGAGAUUUUCUUUGCGGGAAGAUUUUGAUUACUAAUUUAACUUCUUUGCUUAUUAAAUAUAGGUCUAUUCAGAUAUUUUACUUAUUCUUGAGCCUAUUUUGGUAAUUUGUGCCUUUAUUGGAAUUCAUCAGUUUCUUCUAAGUUAUCUAGUUUGUUGACAUAAAUUAUUUAUACUAUUUCCCUAUAAUCCUUUUUAAUUUCUGUAAGAUUGGUAGUGAUGUUCUUCCUUUUUUUCUUGACUUUGUUAAUUUGUGUCUUCUCUCAUUCUUCUUGGUACUUCUACCUUGAGGUUUGUAAAAUUUGUUGAUAUUUUCAAAGAACUGACUUUUGUGUUCAUUGAUGUUUUUCUCUUGUUUUCUGUUUUCUAUUUCAAUUAUUUCCAUUUCAAUUUUUAUUACUUCCUUUACUCGGCUUGGGCUGGGUUUAGCUUGUUUUGCUUUUUCAUGGUUGAUUUUAGAUCUUCUUUUGAUACAGCAUUUAAAGUCAUAAAUUUCCCCCUAGGCAUUGUUUUACCAACAUGUUAUAAAUUUUGAAGUAUUGUGUUUUCAUGCAUUCCUGGGUUUCAGCACGUUGCCUAUGAUGUGUCUACAUGUGGAUCUCUUUUUAUAUACACUAAUAAGUGCUUGUUUAGCUUAUUAGAUGUGUAGAUUAGUAUUUCUCAACAAAUUUGGGGAGUUGUGGCCAUUACUUUUUCAAACAGAUUUCCUUCUUCUUCCUUUUCUCUUCUUCUGUGAGUGCCAUUAUAUGUACGUUGGUGUGGUUUAUUUUGUCUCACAGGUCUCCAAGCUCUGAUUUUUUUUCAUUCUUUUUCUGUCUAUUAUUCUGAUUUGAUAAAUUCUGUGAUUCUGUUUCCAAGUUUACAUAUUGUGUCUUCUGCCUACUUGAGUAUUCUCUUAACCACCUCUAGUGGAUAUUUCACUUCAGUUAUAUAAUUUUGUACUCCAGAUUUCAUUUUUAAAAUUUUAAAAUUUUGUAAUUUGUCUCCUUCUUGAGAAUCUCUACGUGUAGAUUUAUUGUU
rnacentral:lncRNA from 1 species